UGUGAUUGCAGGGGAUUGGGUGUGGAACAACACUAAACUCCAAUUGGAUUGGUGGUUGGCAACAAUAGCGGCCAUAAACAGAGAGAACGGACCCUCUUCAACCUGGAUCAAAAUUGUUGGUCUCCCACUGCAUCUAUGGUCAUAAAUGACUUUCAAAGACAUUGCGGGGGUUGGGUCGAAAUGGAGGAAGAGACACAACUAAGAAAUCACCUUAAAUUGGCUAGAAUCAGGCUUGAAGGUGACAGUUCAAGGAUUUCAAAGGAGGUGAAAAUCUUGAAUGUCAGAAUUUUCUUCACCUUGCAGUUGUGGACAAAUUUUCCGACUAGAUUCACUAUCGAAGAAUAUGGUGAGUCGGUCUCUUUAACCAGCAGUCCUCGUGGAUUUAUCAAGAGGUUAAUAGAGGGGUUGAUGAGGUUGCCAACCUUUUACCGGGGGGAGGAGAAAAAGCAAGGGGUAUGGUCCCCCUUCAAAUUUAAUUUUGAAGUCAAAUGGAGGCCAACUUUUGUUUUUGUCUUCUUCAGACCAAGGCCCAAAACACAAUAAAUCACAAAUUCACCCAAGACCAAUGGAGAAUUGAAAAGUCCAAGAGCCCCAAGGUCUGCUCAUGUGAGAAGGACGUGGAGGGGGGAAAAGGCCUUAGAGGUCUUUUCAAGAAUUAGGAAAAAGAGAUUUAACAAGAGGAGGAAGAUACAAUGCGGCAAAAAGAAGGGAAAGAAAGGAUUUUCUCCAACACCCAAGAGUGGGUUCGCGAAACUCAACCUCAUGAAGCUGAAAUCCCCAAUAAAGGAAGAGAACAUGUGCAAGAGACAGAUAAGGAUAUGCAGACUCAACAAUUACAUGACGCUGAUCCAGUCAAUAUGCAAAUUACUCUUUCUCAAGAAGCUAUCGAUAUGAAAGCAUCAAAUUGGGUUAACUCUCAUAUCUUAGAGCUAAGAAAUACUUAUGGGUUAGCUUUCGAAUUAUUUGAAAAGGAAACUAUACUUUUGUUAAUGAAUAUUGAUGAGAGAAAAUCAUUGGUAGAUAACAGGAGGCCUAAUUUGGUAGCGUCUACUCCAAAGAGCAGGGGAAUUGGCAAAAAUGAAUUGAAAAACCUUAAAUCCAGUCUUAAUGAAGAAGUGGAAGGUAACAGGGGGAGAAAUUUUUGUUUAACUUUUAAAUGAAAGUUAACCUAUUAACAUGGAAUUUAAAGGGAUUAAAUGACCAAAUCAAGAGAACAGUGGGGAAGAGUCCAAUGUGAAAAUGGAUUUUUACUGUUUUCAAGAAACAAAGCUCAACAAGGAGGUUGAAGUAAUUGCUAAGCAAUUAUGGUCAUUUCGGUGGAUGAAAUGUGGUUAUCUAAAAGUUGUGGGUACUAGUUGGGGGGGGGGGUUCCUCAUGAUGUGGGACAGUAGAAGCUGGAUUGAGACUUUAGUUGAGGCUGGUAAAUAUUCCAUCACUUAUGAGUUUGUUUCAACUCAUAACCUCUAUACUUGGUACCUUACUGAAGUGUAUGCUCCUCAUACCAGAAUGAGAAGUUAAUAUGUUGGGAGGAACUGGUUAUUGUUAAAACCAUUUAUGAUGGUCCUUGGGUCACAUGUCGAGACUUUAACACACAAUACUAUGGAAGAAAUAAAAGGAUGUAACAUAAUAUUUUUUUUGUCUGAUUACUCAACAUGGAUACAUGAGAUGGAAUUACAUGACCCCAACUACAUGGUGGAGUUUUUACAUGGUUCAGAGGCCUUAAUCACUCAAGUGCAUCGAGGCUAGACAGAUUCCUAUUCUUUAUGGCAUGGGAAGAAAAAUUCAAAAAUAUCAAUCAAAAGGUACUAUCUAGAGUCCUCUUUGAUCACUGCCCUAUCAUGUUAGAAUGUGGAACCUGGGAGAAGAAAAGGUCAAACUUCAAGUUCGAAAACUGGUGGCUUAAGGUGGAAGGUUUUACUGAAUUGAUCCAAGUAUGAUGGAAGGAUAUCCAGACUAUAGACUCAAUGUUAAGCUAAAAAUGCUUAAGGAAAAAUUCAAAAAAUGGAGCAAAGCUAACUUUGGGAAGAUAGUAAACAAGAAGAAAAACUUGCUGGAAAAACUGGCUGAAAUUGAUGAGUUAAAGGGAACAAGAGAUUUGACUGAAGAUGAAAUAAUGAUAAGAGCAACCAUAGUAGUGGAGUUGGAAGAGCUGAAAAAAAAUUGAAGAAUCAAGGUGGAGACAAAAAUCUAGAGUAUUAUGGCUGAAACAAGGGGAUAAUAAUACAAGGUGUUUUCGUAAGAUUGGCAACAUCACACAGGAGGAGCAACAUCAUUGACAGGUUGACAGACAAGGGAGAGAUCGUAGAAGACCUUAUAGAAAUCAGAACACUAUGAUUGAUUUUUAUAAGAAGCUCUAUACUGAAAACUGGAGACUUCGAUUUGAUUUCCUAGGUUGUCCAACUAUAACUCAGGAAGGAAAAACUUGGAUUUAAAGACCUUAAUUUGUGGAGUAGGUGUUGGGAUGCUUAAAACAAUGUGAUGAAGAUAAAGCUCCAGGUCCUGAUGGUUUCACAAUUAGUUUCUUGAAUUCAUGUUGGGGAACAUUGAAGGAGGAUCUGAUGUUGACCAUUUAAAAUUUUCACCAAAAUGAAGUCUUUGAAAAAAGCUUUUAAUACUUUGAUAGCAUUGAUUCCUAAAAAAUCUAGGGCGGAGGAAUUAAAAGAUUUCAGACCUAUUAGCUUGAUAGGGAGAGUAUUAGAUUAUUUCCAAACUAAUCACUGAAAGGUUGAAGACAGUGAUUGGGAGAUUGGUUGAUGUACACCAAAUGGCUUUUUAAAAGGAAUGUAAAUUAUGGAUGCCUCACUUAUUGGUAAUGAAUUGGUGGACUUCAAAGUCAAAUUAAACAAAAAAAAUGGCUGGUAACUGGUGUAAUUUGGAUGUAGAAAAGGCAUAUAAUCAUGUUGAUUGGUCUUUUCUGCCUAAAUCUUGAAGGACAUGGGUUUAGGGAGGAAGUGUCUUAACUGGAUAAGCUUCUGCAUAUCCACAGUUAAGUUCUCACUAAUUAUAAAUGGAAACUCUGAAGGUUUCUUCCAAUCUCAAAGGGGGUUAAGGUAGGGGGACCCUCUUUCACCCUUCCUAUCCAUUCUAGCCAUGAAAGGCCUCAAGCACAUGAUUAAGAGAGCAAAUGUCAAUGGAUGGUUAAGAGGUUUUAAAGCUCAAAUACAGGGGAGCAUGGAGAAUGAGGUGGGGCUUACUCAUUUACUUUAUGCAGAUGAUUCUCUGAUUUUGUGUGAGGCUGAGGUGACACAAAUCAUACACAUCAUAGCUAUUCUCACUCUUUUUGAAGGUGUCCCUGGGCUACAUGUUGAUUGACAAAAGAGUUUGCUCUCCAGUCAACCAUAUAAGCAACAGGUAACUGGUAGCUAGCAAUCUUGGUUGCCAAAUAACUACUUUACCCACAUAGUAUUUGGGCAUGCCUUUGGGAGCACAAAACAAGGACAUAGGACUGUGGAAUGAUGUUCUAAAGAGAUGUGACAGGAAACUUGGAAGGUGGAAAAUUCCUUACCUCUCUUUGGGAGGGAUUGACCCUAGUCAAGUAAAUCCUCUCCCGUCAUACAGGAUGAGGCUUUUCCCUAGUCCAAAGAUUAUUGAGAAAAAGAUCAACAAACUUAGAAGAUCUUUUCUUUGGGACAGAAACAGAGAAAAUAGACGUUAUAACAAGCUAGUCAAGUGGGAUAUUGUAACAAUUAGUAGGAAGCACGGGGGAUUGGACAUAAAAAAGCUAAGCCUCCUUCCUUCUGCAGAAAUGGUAGUGGAGAUUCUGCACUCAAGAGAGUAAUCAUUGAAAAAUAUGGACUACAAAGUCAUUGGUCUACUGAGGAGGUUCCGGGAAUUCUAGUGUGUAGUGUUUGGAAGACGAUUAGAAGACUAUGGCCAGGGUUCAAGGAUAACAUCUCACUUAAGGUGGGAAAUGGCUGGAAAAUUGACUUCUGAAAUGAUUUAUGGAUUGGAGAAGAAUUCCUUGCAACUCUAUUUCUAGAUUUACUUAUACUCCAGCCAAUAGAAAAAGGACACAAUUUCUCAGAUGUGGAGCCCUCAGGGAUGAAAUUUCUUGUUUAGAAGAGCCCUCAAUGAUUGGGGAUGGAGAGAAUCAUUGCUCUAUUUCAUAUCCUAAAUACCUUCCCAGGAACCUCCAAUGAGCUUGGCAAGCCUAUAUGGAAAUUACAGAGGAAAGGAGUGUUCACAGUGAAGUCUUGCUACUGGAGUAUCAAUGAUGGUCAAAGAUGAAAUACAACUUGGCCUUGGAAACUAAUUUAAGAUACAAUUACCUCUAAAGGUCUCAUGUUUUGCUUGGUUGGUGUGUAGAAGGGCAUGUCUAACACAUGAAGUGCUUCAGAAAAAAAGGAAGACAAAUUUGUUUAAGAUGUUUUAUGUGUGAUCAAGAUGCUGAAGUCAAUGCACAUUUUUUCCUCCACUGCAAGGUGGCAGCUACCGACAUAUGGAACAUGUGUUUUUUUUGCAACCUUGGUGUAUGCUGGGCAACUCCAAAAACCACUAAGGAUAUGCUAGACUGCUGAAAUGAGAUAGGAAGAAGACAUUUACUGAAGACUGGUGGAAGUUAAUACCAGCUUGCAUUUGGUGGACUCUACAGAAAGAAAGGAUUUCUAGAUGUUUUGGGACAAGUGUAACAACAUCGAUAAGAUAAGGAUGAAUAGCCUUAGUCUUUUAUACUUUUGGUGUAAACAGGAUAUGAUGAGGGAUAUAAAACUUUUUUUGUUGAUUUCAUGAGCAAUUUGUAAUCUCCCUACGGGUAGGUUUUGUUAUGCUCUAAUGAGAUUGUAAGUAACUUAUGACUUUGGUAAAUACACAAUUACCCUUAUCUCAAAAAAAUUGUUUGUUACAGAUUUCCUAUUUAUUGGUUAAGAUUGGUAAUAUGUUGCUACAAAUGACUCAUUUGUUCCAACAUAUAUGUAAGUCACCUUGAAAGACUAUCUUACAAACUCAUAUUUUUUAUUAUAGGUUGUGCAUCCAUGUCUUGUCCCAACAGAAAAAGAGUUGCAAAUAUCAUUCCUUGUUGCUCAAGCAUUUGAUGAGACACUAUUUGAUCCUAUGGUGGUUAGAGUUAAAUGGGAAUUGUUGGAACAAGAACCAUCAAAAGAGAAAAAGUUGAUGCUGGUCAACUUGUUGUUUUUGAUGAGGAUAUGAUUAAUGCAGCUGUAAGGGCUAGUGUUUGUGCUGAAAAAAGUGGUAAGAAGAAAAAUCAUUGGUGUUUGUGGUUCUGAAAGAAUGUUGAUACCAUUUUGUGGGGCUGAAAGAAGUGUUGGGGCUACCACUUGUAAUAAAUGUUCUGGCUUUCAAUGUUGUAAGUGCUAGACAAAAGAUGAUGAUGUUGUCAGGUGUCUUCAAACAUUGAACCGAGGCUGUGAAAGAAUUGACAUCCAAGAGGACGGGAUCCAUGUACUCCACAUGCUAAGAGGAGAAGAAAAUUGUUUGGCAAGGCAAUAUCAAAUAUGGAAAAAAAUUUAUUGGAUAAUUGUCAAUGACCGUAAGAGAGAAGUUGGUGCUUAAGAAGGUGAAUAUUUACAAGUUCGUGCCUUCAGCUAUAAAAGGCUACUUUGUUGGCACUGAUGGAAACAAAUGAUCACGAGUUCUACUCCAUGCAUUAUCUUGAUGAAAAUAGUUUUAAGAACAUGACUAGUAUGAAUGUUUGGUGGGAGGACUUGGAUAGGAUCAUGGAUCUCAACGAUCUAUCGUUACCUUCAUAAACAAAUUCAAGAUUAUGAGCGAGGAAACAACAACAGAUGGUGGCAGAACCUUUAAGCAGUUACUUGCUGAGUUUGUACGGCAAGAGGAUGUCGUUGAAGGGAAGAGACCAGGUCCUGGUGGCAUGGAUUGGAUAGGGGCAAAGAGGAUUCUUGCAGUCAUGAACUCAGGGAAAAAACAUUUUGUGGCUCUUGAUAUCCUCUGGAACAAGGGAGUCAUUAAUGUUUAUGACUGCAACAUUGGUUAGCUAUUAAUAACUUUAAACUGGUGUAAUAAUAUAGUUAAAACAGGUGAUGACUUGGUUUAUAUAAUUUAGCAGAAAAAAAUAUGUAUUCUAUCAUUGAGAGUGCUACACUGCCUCUCUUAUGACCAGAAUUAAUUAUAUAGCUAGAUAUAGAUUUUCAAUGGUGUGUAGUAGCCCCAAUUUGUUGGUUUGGGCUGCUUAAAUGAUUUCCUGGAAUUGUUUAGUAAUUUGUCAAGUGUUUCUAUUACUGAAUGAAUAUCAAUGCUGUUUUGUUUCUU